AUUGAACGCUGGCGGCAGGCCUAACACAUGCAAGUCGAACGAGUGGCGGACGGGUGAGUAAUGUCUGGGAAACUGCCUGAUGGAGGGGGAUAACUACUGGAAACGGUAGCUAAUACCGCAUACCAUCGGAUGUGCCCAGAUGGGAUUAGCUAGUUGGUGGGGUAAAGGCCUACCAAGGCGACGAUCCGUAACUGGUCUGAGAGGAUGAUCAGGCACACUGCAACGGAGACACGGUCCGGACCCCUACGGGAGGCAGCAGUGGGGAAUAUUGGACAAUGGGCGAAAGUCUGAUCCAGCCAUGCCGCGUGUGUGAAGAAGGUCUACGGAUUGUAAAGCACGUUAAGUUGGGAGGCGUUACCAACAGAAUAAGCACCGGCUAACUACGUGCCAGCCGCCGCGGUAAUAC
rnacentral:rRNA from 1 species